rnacentral:rRNA from 1 species
AGGACGAACGCUUGCGACGUGCCUAAGAAAUGCAAGUCGAACGGGGUCAUCCUUCGGGGUGGCCUAGUGGCGAACGGUCGCGUAACACGUGGGCAACCUGCCCUGAAGCGGGGGACAACAAGCCGAAAGGUUUGCUAAUACCGCAUGUGGAUCGCCUCGGCAUCGAGGAUUAUCCAAAGCAGCAAUGCACUUCAGGAUGGGCCCGCGGCCUAUCAGCUAGUUGGGGGGGUAAUGGCCCACCAAGGCGACGACGGGUAGC